rnacentral:rRNA from 1 species
UACGUAGGGUGCAAGCGUUAAUCGGAAUGACUGGGCGUAAAGGGUGUGUAGGCGGUUUGUUAAGUCUGAUGUGAAAUCCCCGGGCUCAACCUGGGAACUGCGUUGGAAACUGGCAAACUAGAGUACGUAAGAGGGGGGUGGAAUUCCACGUGUAGCAGUGAAAUGCGUAGAGAUGUGGAGGAACACUGAUGGCGAAGGCAACCCCCUGGGACGAUACUGACGCUGAGGCACGAAAGCGUGGGGAGCAAACAGG